rnacentral:rRNA from 1 species
AUGAACGCUAGCGGCAGGCUUAACACAUGCAAGUCGAAGGGCAGCGUGGGAAGUGCUUGCACUUCCUGACGGCGACUGGCGCACGGGUGAGUAACACGUAUGCAACCUGCCCCCUGCAGGGGGACAACUUUCCGAAAGGAAGGCUAAUCCCGCGUAUAUUCCGGAGGGGCAUCCCUCCGGGAGGAAAGAUUCAUCGGCAGGGGAUGGGCAUGCGGCGCAUUAGGCAGACGGCGGUGUAACGGACCACCGUACCGACGAUGCGUAGGGGUUCUGAGAGGAAGGUCCCCCACACUGGUACUGAGACACGGACCAGACUCCUACGGGAGGCAGCAGUGAGGAAUAUUGGUCAAUGGGCGGGAGCCUGAACCAGCCAAGCCGCGUGAGGGAAGAAGGCCCUAUGGGUCGUAAACCUCUUUUGUCAGGGAACAAAAGCGAGUAUGUAUACUAGUCUGAGUGUACCUGAAGAAAAAGCAUCGGCUAACUCCGUGCCAGCAGCCGCGGUAAUACGGAGGAUGCGAGCGUUAUCCGGAUUUAUUGGGUUUAAAGGGUGCGUAGGCGGCGAUGCAAGUCAGCGGUAAAAGCCCGGGGCUCAACCCCGGCGAGCCGUUGAAACUGCAGUGCUAGAGAAGGCGAGAGGUACGCGGAAUGCGCAGUGUAGCGGUGAAAUGCUUAGAUAUUGCGCAGAACUCCGAUUGCGAAGGCAGCGUACUGGCGCCUGACUGACGCUGAGGCACGAAAGCGUGGGGAUCGAACAGGAUUAGAUACCCUGGUAGUCCAUGCCGUAAACGAUGAUUACUAGGUGUUGGGGGAUUGACCCCCUCAGUGCCGCAGUUAACACAAUAAGUAAUCCACCUGGGGAGUACGACCGCAAGGUUGAAACUCAAAGGAAUUGACGGGGGCCCGCACAAGCGGAGGAACAUGUGGUUUAAUUCGAUGAUACGCGAGGAACCUUACCCGGGCUCAAACGGCGGCGGACAGGGACAGAGACGUCCCCUCCUACGGGCCACCGCCGAGGUGCUGCAUGGUUGUCGUCAGCUCGUGCCGUGAGGUGUCGGCUUAAGUGCCAUAACGAGCGCAACCCCUGCCGGUAGUUGCUAACGGGUCAAGCCGAGGACUCUACCGGGACUGCCGGCGCAAGCCGUGAGGAAGGCGGGGAUGACGUCAAAUCAGCACGGCCCUUACGUCCGGGGCGACACACGUGUUACAAUGGUCGGUACAGAGGGAAGCCAGGUGGCGACACCGAGCGGAACCCGAAAGCCGGUCUCAGUUCGGAUCGGAGUCUGCAACCCGACUCCGUGAAGCUGGAUUCGCUAGUAAUCGCGCAUCAGCCAUGGCGCGGUGAAUACGUUCCCGGGCCUUGUACACACCGCCCGUCAAGCCAUGGGAGCCGAGGGCGCUUGAAGUGCGUCGCCGCAAGGCGCGCCCUAGAGCGAAAUCGGUGACUGGGGCU